rnacentral:rRNA from 1 species
GACGAACGCUGGCGGCGUGCCUAAUACAUGCAAGUCGAGCGAAGUUUUUCUGGUGCUUGCACCGGAAAAACUUAGCGGCGAACGGGUGAGUAACACGUAAAGAACCUGCCUCAUAGACUGGGACAACUAUUGGAAACGAUAGCUAAUACCGGAUAACAGCAUUAACUGCAUGGUUGAUGUUUAAAAGUUGGUUUUGCUAACACUAUGAGAUGGCUUUGCGGUGCAUUAGCUAGUUGGUGGGGUAAAGGCCUACCAAGGCGACAAUGCAUAGCCGACCUGAGAGGGUGAUCGGCCACACUGGGACUGAGACACGGCCCAGACUCCUACGGGAGGCAGCAGUAGGGAAUCUUCCGCAAUGGGCGAAAGCCUGACGGAGCAACGCCGCGUGAGUGAAGAAGGAUUUCGGUUCGUAAAGCUCUGUUGUUAGGGAAGAAUGAUUGUGUAGUAACUAUACACAGUAGAGACGGUACCUAACCAGAAAGCCACGGCUAACUACGUG